rnacentral:rRNA from 1 species
AACGAACGCUGGCGGCAUGCCUAACACAUGCAAGUCGAACGGAUGGUUUCGGCCAUCAGUGGCGCACGGGUGAGUAACGCGUGGGAAUCUGCCCAGCAGUGGGGGAUAACCUCUGGAAACGGAGGCUAAUACCGCAUACGCCCCUCGGGGGAAAGGCUUGCUGCUGCUGGAGGAGCCCGCGUCGGAUUAGGUAGUUGGUGGGGUAACGGCCUACCAAGCCUGUGAUCCGUAGCUGGUCUGAGAGGAUGAUCAGCCACACUGGGACUGAGACACGGCCCAGACUCCUACGGGAGGCAGCAGUGGGGAAUAUUGGACAAUGGGGGCAACCCUGAUCCAGCAAUGCCGCGUGAGUGAUGAAGGCCUUCGGGUUGUAAGCUCUUCGCCCACGACGAUGAUGACGGUAGUGGGAGAAGAAGCCCGGCUAACUCGUG